rnacentral:rRNA from 1 species
UACGGGGGGGGCAAGCGUUGUUCGGAAUUACUGGGCGUAAAGCGCACGUAGGCGGCGAUUCAAGUUAGAUGUGAAAGGCCUGGGCUCAACCCGGGAACUGCAUUUGAUACUGAAUUGCUAGAGUCCAAGAGAGGGUAGUGGAAUUCCCAGUGUAGAGGUGAAAUUCGUAGAUAUUGGGAAGAACACCAGUGGCGAAGGCGGCUACCUGGCUUGGUACUGACGCUGAGGUGCGAAAGCGUGGGGAGCGAACGAG